GCUGCAGACAGCCCCGGAGCCCGGCACGCCGCUCCGCAGAGCGUGACAGCCGUGCCUUUCGCGCGGCAUCGCCGCGGCGUGGCUCGCCUCAACCCCUUUAACUUUAUUUCGGGGUUUUGCGGGCUCGGGGGUUUCAUGACCACACGUACCCCGACACUGUAACACGAGCUCCGUGCUGUACCGCCAGCAGGUAACACAGCCGAGCGCGUGGCCGUGUUUAUUUCCCGCUGAACGGAGCUACCGGCCAGCGGAGCGGGGACUCGAGUCCGUCUCCCGGUGAAAAUGGCCAAAAGACACUCGAACAAGCGAAGGGACGGAGAGAUAAAAUAGAAAACAUGUUAACAUAGACAGAUAAAUGCCCGGCCGGACUAUUCCUCCUCUGCGAACACACGCGACUGUGAGCGCUCCCAUCCCAGCCGGUCACCGAGCACGGCCGCGGGGACACAGACCUGGGCACAGGUCUGCAAGGCAGUAAUUGCCCCUCACCUCCUCACACACACUUUUUCAUGUUGCCGCAUGCCCACACACUUCUGCCGCAGAAAGAAUACAUGUGGCUAAAGCCGCAGGUGCGGAGAUGGUUGGAAAGUUGUAAAAAGCACCUCGACUUGAGUGUCCUGCCUGGAAACCUGGUGUGUUCAAACCCCACGGGCGAAGAGGUUUUUGCGACUCAGUUUCAAAGACAAGGCUGCAGCGAUCCCAUUGAUCCUCACGGAGCAAAAAAUAACCUUUACCCGAAACAGUGACCAGCAGGGACUGGGAAGAUAGAAAGUGGGAAAGCAACCUUUCCUGGUUAAAAUGUGGGGAACUGCCUUAUGAUUUCCAAACAACCCAGAGCUGAGGAGGUCACUUUUCGGGGAGGGUAGGAGAAGGUGGGGGUUCAAAAUACGGAAUAGUCACAGAUUGUUGCUGAUGUUGAAUUUCCUGAGGAAAAAAAAUAAAAGCCAAAACCCAAACCACAACCCAACACCAACCUUUCCUGUCUCGAAUCUGACAAAGUAAACAGGAUUAAUUCACCAUAUGAAAAAACAUAAACGCAGUCCCAACAAACGCAGAAAUAAGAAGAGAAAGCGGUUUUAACAGGACGCACAAUAUUAAUAGUUUGAACGUAUGAUCGUAAAAAUGAAAACCCAUUGAUACACGCUUAAAAGCCGCCGUAUACGCUGAUUGCUCAAGCAUUAAUGAAGAAUGCCCCACAUUAACUAUUUGCUCUUCGAGGGAUGCAGCGAUAUAACUAUCUAUUAGCACUAUUAGAUGCUUUGCUAUUUAUUUGAAAACACCCCUGCGAGUGGGUUGAGACAGAAGAGAUGAAUGUAAAAAUGAACUGCAGCUAAUUUCUCUAAAUAAUCCUCGAAACCUGAGCGCCUCGCAAGGAAGGGGGAGAUUCUCCACUGUCCUUCUCCGAGGCUAAUGACAAUAGAAAUGCUCUGGUUUAAAAGUGAGACCGUGUUGGUUUUCCAAAUAAACAAACGCAUCCCUCCUGCCAUUUUACUGCAGAUGUAAAUUUAUUUUAAUGAGAGGGAGUGGAAGGAUUUAUUUUGCUAAAAUAGAGUUGGGGAUAGAGCCGGUGUAAAUCUUUAGGUUUCAAAAAGAGAAGAGGAAGGAGGGGGAAGCUGCUUUCCUGGCAGAAAGCUGCCUAACAGUCUUCUAAUUCUUUCUAGAUUAAAUCGCAAUAUGAAUACAGCAUCGAACAAAUACCGAGUUUCGCUCUGAACUCAGUGGAAAGCAGUUACGUCUAACAGAAUUCAAUGAAUUCCUCUUCUCCCUCAAUGUAGUAUGUGUGUGUUUUUCUCUUCCACCACACUGAAGUUCCAUGAAUAGGGAAAGUGGCUCCUAUUGUGUGCCUCUGAACUUCCAAGUCAAUGCAAUUUUUAACCACUGGCUUGUGGUACUUUGAAAAUCACCAGGGGCUGUCAGAGUUGGGUCCUCUGAAAAAUUUACAGUGCUAAAUCAGAGCAUAUGCUGUGAGAGAGGAAAAAAAAUUGCUUAAGAUUGGAGCAAGUACAGUAUCUGGCUGCCCCCUAGUGUAAGUCUCUUAUCUGCCUAAAAUUCAACUUUAAAAGAAAAGGAUCUCUUAAAGGGAAACGACUUUUGGCUCACGUAUGCAUACGAGAAUGAAACUUCUGUACAUUUUAAUCUGAUUAAUUCCUAAGGAUUUAAAAUUAAUUGGCUUGAGCACUCCUAGACCGGACUAUAAGAUUUCUGCAUCAGGGUUUCUGCGAGAGCUGUGCCGAAUAGGUAUUUUUAAGGGAUAGUGGUAAGGGAUGGUGGUGGGGGGGAGAUCCUGUUUUGUGAUUUUUUUUUUUUUAACGAGGAUCCGUGCCUCGCUUGCUGUUGUCAGAGCAAAAACACUUCUGCAGCUUAAAGUCAGAUCUACGUAUUUUCCAAUAAUAUAUUAAAAAAAAAAAAAAAAAAAAAGAAAGGAUAAAUAAAUGCCUAAAGCCUCAGCCGAACUGCCAACCACACCUUCGGAUGGGACAUUCCUCGCAGCAGCAGUGUUAGACGCCGAAUUGAAGAAAAUCCUGGAGUUGAACAUAUCUUCGGGGAAGGCAGAAAUAUUUGAACUGCUGAAAGAGGUGGGUACUUUUUGGUAAGUAUGUUUAGAUAUGAUCUUCAGAUACAUUUAUUGUACUUUCAAAUUCUUGGGAUACUAAUUGAGCUAGCAAACAAUAUCCCAGCUGAAUGUCUCAGCUUCUUCCCUAUUUAACAGGCUUUAAUGUAGAAGUAUAUUGUAGCCAUCCUCCUACUAAACAAUGUAGCUGAGGAGUCAGCAAAAAAUGAAAAAAACAUGUUAAAACCAAAUUAUAAUUGCUGCCUUAUAUCUGACUCUUCUUCCUUUCUGCAGUCCUAAUGAACUCUUUAAAGUUUUAUUUAUUUAUUUUUUUAUUUCUGAGUGACAGAUCAAAAAUAAUUAGCAGAAUCAGAAGCAGCCGGGAAGCUUGAAAUAAUGUGUCUAAAUAUUUCAUAUUGCUACUUAUAAUACCAGCCCUUCAGUUGUAAAAAAGAACCAUUCCCUAUUUAUUCUGUGGUGGUUUAUAAAUACAGAAGUGUAGAUUCUUUUAUUUUUUUUUUUUUUCCCAGGGCCUGCCUCAGCGAUGCCAUAAAUAGAGAUUGAGCUAUCAGGAGGGGAAAAAAAAAAGAGAGAAAGAAUAAAAUAAAAGCAAAACCCUGGACAGGAAUAGAGACAGACAGAUAAAUGUAUAACUGCAUCUGAACAAUGUUAUGUAGCACAUUAGGAGUUGGUAAAAAGAAAUUAAAUCUAUCGCAUAUUUAUAACCUCAUAAUUAAAAUACAUUCUUAUCUCUCUCCUCUGAAAGGUUGCAGCUUUCUUGGAAGUAUUUUGAGUGCAUAUUUUAAACUCCAUGUCUCGAAUUGAAUUAAGAUGAGCUGUUUUGCCCAAGAGUAAAGCCCUUGUUUACAAUUUAAUAUUUAACUUUCAGCUGCCUACCCAUCGCCAUAUCAUUUUCAUUAAAUUCCACCUCCUUACAUUUGCAGGCUUUAUUUAAAAUGAUGUUAGCUUAUAUCAAAUCCUAAUUUCUUAUCAUAAGAAAUGAGUCAACAUAAUCCAAAACAGUCCCCUUGGUCUGAUCGAGGUAAAUUGAAUGAGAAUAUUUCACAUUCAAAGAGUUAAAGCUAAACCGAAAACUUUAAAGCAAAGAGAUACCAGCAAACAGUGAAAAAUGAUACAUCUGCUCUCUCUUGACAAGCUUGCAUUAUAUCACAUGUAAGGAAGCCCAAAUUUUUGAAUCUGAGACCAGUUUUAGUUUUUAAUAGGAAAUAAUUACAUGGAACUUUAUUUCCAGAGAGAAUGUCCCUUCCAGCUACAGUGUUUUGCUUUGAUCUAAGUAUUAACUGGUAAUAAAAUAACCAUAUUUUGGAUCCUAAGCAUAUUGAUGCUUAGAGGAAUGUUAUGCUUUCAAUCAAAUUUUAACUUUAGAUUAUCCGAAGGUAUUCAUCCUUCUUUUGUCAGAAACCAAUUUGCUCUCUUACUCCUACAGCUACUCACAUGUGGUUUGGUAUACUUUGUUAUUUUAUAGUGGAAUUUGCACUAUUGAGGUGGAAAACUUUUAGAUGGAAUGAGAUCAUGUUCCAGCCUGGCAGUUUGGGCUGUUUCUCAUACAGGUCCCCAGUCCAGCCGUGCUUUACACUUGUGCACCACCACCUUCGCUCACCUCCGAGGGCAGCCACCAGCAUUUUGUUUUAAAUAUUCAGAUUUUUUUUUUAAAUUUAUUUAUUUUUUUUUUUUAACCUGGAGAAUCAAUCAUUUGGACCCAUCCUGAACAAUUAACCUCCCCUUUAUAUUACAGCCCCAAGUGCAGUACUUCAUAAAGACAUGAAAAGGACAUCCCAGUCAGCAGGACCCGAGCCCAGGCUUGUCACAGAGUAUAAAAGGAGAGAGAAGGGGAGUUUUUAUCUCUUUGCCCCGCCAAUUCUUAAUAGUUCUAAGUUUCAGUGUGACAAUAAAACAGUUUUGAUAACAUAGCUCAUGGGUUUCUCUGCCACAUAAAGUUUUCUUAAUAAUAAAAAAGAAGAAACUUUAUCCCUGCUAAAUUAAAAUAGGGCAGAUGUUGGAUAUGGUUCAUAUUAGCCAGCCUUUCACCCCUUUGCCCCUGGCACUAAAGUUCUGACUUUUUCUUUCUACUAUGUCUGUUUCUAACUGAAAGGUAUUACUCCUGCCCUGGCUCUCUUCUUCUAUUUAUUUUUUCAGUGUCUAAAAUUAAACCUAUUCAUUUAGUAAUAUACAUUGUAUUUCACAUUGCUAAACCUGGCCAGAGAGGGGAAACGUUUUCCAAAAAAGUGAUGCACCACUGACCUUAAAAGAAAAUAUGAAGCAGGGAAAGCUGUUCUUAAAAGGUUUAUUUCUUGAGAAUUUUGUAGCUCUGUUGACAUUAUAGGGAUAAUGGCUGUAUUGCAAUGGGCUUUCAAGGCCCAAGAGGUUUAUGUUUUCUUCUGACCAUAAGUCUAAUAAAAUUUUAAAGGUGCACAAAGUCUCAUCACUUUAGAUAUUUAAAACGAGUUUGAAAAAUCUCUUGGGAAACAUACAUUAUGGUGGAUAACUCCACUGAGAAAGCAGGGGAUGGACAAAGAAAAAAUACCCUGAGUCCAAACCCAAAUAAACCCCCCCAGAUUUUUCAUGCUAGCUCUAUGAAAAUCCUGGCUAUUAAACUCCCAAGGAUAGCACAGCUCUUUUCUCCAGGGCUGUGCAGAUAGAAUUUAUUGUCCAUUUGGAAUGAUCAAGUUUAGGCUAAUAAAAGGCUCUCUGUAAGCAGAAAUGCCCAAGUUGAUGUUUGGCAGAGUUUUCAAUGGUGGAGUUUAUACAGGAUGGGGGCUCUGCACUAUUUGAAAUAACUCCCAUCCCAGCAGCUGAAGAUGAUCUGACACACAAGUGAACGUUAGCAGGCAGUGACUGAGGGUUAAUCAGUGCUGCUUUCUGAGCUGGGUGCUUGAAAGCAGGAAAAAGUGAAAGCUGUUUUCUCUAGCCCUUCCCUAUGCUAAGGUGCUGCUAACUUUUAUGAUUUUUUCCCCCCCUUUCCUCUUUUACUAUCUGUCUUUGUGCCUGAGGGCCAGUGAAAGAACACUGCAGAUUCUAGAUUGCUUUCAGAGUUUCCCUUUGCUGAUGAUGGAUUACCAUGUCAAUUUAAACGGCAUAGGAUUAAUUUGUUUCAAUGAUUUCUCUUUAGGCUGAAUGCCAGUCUUUUUUUCUAUCUCUCUCCUAGCUCUUCAGAAAAAAAUAAUAACAAUAAUAAUAAUAUAAAUACUUAAACCCCCCAAACACUUUUGAGAUCCCAUGUUAAAAAGACAAUAAUAGAAAUAGACAAGUUAGGUGUAAUGUUGCAACACAGUUGUAGGUUUGAGUGUUUUUAUCUCGUUCUGAGGGGCUGCAGCAUACAGUCAGUCACAUUAAAAUGAAAUUGGAUCCAACGUUUAUUCAAUAAAUACUUGUCUUGUAGGUAAUCCAGAACAGAGUGCUUUUGACACAUAAGGACUUAAUUUGUCUUGGAUAACAAGUUAUUAAUAUGGCACAUUUAAACUUGCCACCUACAAUAAGGUCAUUUAGAUCUAUAAUACGACUCAGGAGAGAACUUCAUAAAGCCAGAACCAAAGUUUGGAACUGCCUCUGAGGCGCGGAGCAGACGCACGGCUCACGGUUUGCUCUUUUCAGAAGAAAGUUCAGAGCAAGUAGGAGCCACCCAAACCCAAAUGGUGUGCAUCUGCUCCUCUUUGAAAGGCAAACGUAAAUGGAGUAAGGAGGGGAGGGAAAAAAAAAAAAAAAUAGGAACCCAAACACACAUUUUUGAAUGAGUAAGCUUUAAAGCUGUGCUGCGUCUGCUCGCAAACUCAUCGCAGCUUUGAAAGUGAAAAAACAACAUUUGGUUCAGGGUGGAAAUUCGCCUGCAUUUGCACCCUACCUCUUCCAUGUGCUUCGCAAUUUACUCGCUUUUAAUAAUAAGUGAGGAAGUUGGAACAUAAUCCAGCCAUAAAUGUUAUUGCUGUAAUUUGACUGCUCUGUGUUUGUUCAUGCAUUAGCUGUAUAUGUAAAGCAGAGUGGGGAUGGAUGGUGGGGAUCCCCGUGCAGCACGAACAAACAGAGGUGUUUGGGUUUUCAACACCCAAACAUCCUGCAAUUGUUUGCAGCUUUAAGGUGUUUGCUUUCAGAGCUAUCCCAACCCAGUGGUGCCUGCAAGAGGUGCAUCAGGAGGGGAAUAUUGUGGGAAUGCUGCUCAGGACGUGUUUGGUGACUGGCAAUUCCAUCUCCACACUGUGUCCCUGAGCUUUGCUAUUCUGCUUUUCUGUACUAAGCUCUUGGUUGCUUUUGCCCUGGCAGAUUCUGUCUCUUUAAGUAACUAAAUCUCAUUUUUAAGCUAUUCCUGGGAAAAGGAUGUUACACAUGAGUAGAAAAAUGCAGGCAAGACAGGCUAAUUGAAUGAAAAGAGAGAAUUAUGUUAAAAAUAGAGUACAAUCUAGUAUCACAUUUUCACUAGUGUAACCUGAAAUGAAGGUGUCUCCAAGUCCCCAGUGAUGCCAGAGUGUUUAGAUGUUGGGCACAGAUGGAGACACCUAUUGAAAUGUGUCUGAAGAAGAUUAAUAGGACUUGUCAGUGUUGGGAAAGCACUGCUUUGCUGUAAAUUUCUACUAGCACAAGAUGAAUUACCGAUGAAUGCUCAGUUAUCAACCCCAUCACUAUCAUUGGACACUAAAUCAAAUUGAGCAGUUAUCUGCAAUCAGAAAAUUUCUUUUAAAAGUAGGCAUACACCUUUAGGCUUAAACUCUUUAAUAAGACAAUAUCCUCAAUGGUAUGUGUGUGUUCACGGAGGGAUAUGAUUUAAAGUUUCUGUACAAAAAGCUUCUGCUCAGAAAUGAACUCUAAGUUCAGUGUGAAAUCAGGGUUGUCAAACAAUAGAAGAUACUCAGAAAAUGCUGGUUAUAUAAUGCAGAGUUCUGGUGGGGGCCUGAUCCAAAAUGGAUUUUCAUCAGUGUCAUUAGAUUUUGGAUCCAUCCCUAUUUAUGAGAGGUUUUUUUCAAUCUCUGUUUUCCCCUUAUUUAUGGUGAUGAUAAACCCCCCCUUCUCUCUACCUUAAAGACUGAGCAUCCAAAUCAUACAUUAAUGCAAAAUAGCCAUCAUGACUCAGGAUAUAUGUAUAAUAAUAAUACCACCCCCCAACAUAUUUAGGAAAUUACAGCUUAAUAUAAUGAACUAUGUGAUGAAAGAGUAAAUGAAUAAUAUUUUAACUGAGAAUAUUCCUUUCUCUCCUUCAUGAAAAGGGGAAACUGUCACAAGCAAAACUAUCACAAGCAUUUACCAGCCCACUCCUAAAGAAUAUUACCUGCAUUUACCGUCUGAUGCUGCUGAUGAUAUUAAAUAGCAUCACAUACUUUCAGUCUCCAGGAUUUCCUUCCCUCUCACCCAGGCACUGCAUACUUUAUCCAAGGAGAUUUAUCAUGGCGUGUUUUCCAAAGUCAAUUUUUCCCUUUUGUUAAAGACAAGGGCAGUCAUUUGUGUUUAGGGAGGGAGACAGGUACAGAGCCUUUAUCUGAUCUGCGUCCCCAGCCACCACCACCUUCUUAAUCGGCAGAUUCCCACUCCGGAGGAUCUGGCCCUCUCUGGGUUACUUCUUAGCCAAGGAAUGUAUCCUUCCCUUCAUCUCCACAUAUCUCACCUGUGAUGCAUGCUGCUUUUUGAGAAGGGAAUAAUAUGCUCCUUACCAUACAGCACAGUUUCAAAGCCUUUGUGUGUUUCUCAUCGCCAGCCAAAACUUAUUAUUCACCACCCUCAAAAUUUACCAGGAUAGCAGAAGUUAUUUUCUUCAUUUUUGCACCCCAAUUUUCACGCAGCAAGUGCCCUGCAUUAGGACCAGGUUCCACUCAGAUGGAAGUUAUUAACUUUCAGCAGAACUGGGCUGAUUUCAGCCAGCCACAGCCUGUGCCCUUCGAACGCAGUCGCUUUGCAGCAUCCCCGUGUUUAUUUUUUUCCUUUGGAGGGCAUGAUUCUUUAAACAUAUUUGUUUUACAGAGCAGCAGUUGAAUCCUAACUUUUUUUUUCCCCCCACAAACACGUAAAGAGAAUAUUAAUAGGGAAUAUUAACAGAGGUGAGUGCAGCAUGAAGUUAGUUAGGUUGUAGUAGCUGAGAAAUAUGAACUAGUGAACAUAAUCCAUAAACUCCAUUUGGUUACUAUAAUACUCCAAUCUGUAUUUAUUACAACCCCACUCUGAUGCUUAUACAACUGCAAUUGCUAGAUUUAUACACUCUAAUGGUUUCACAAUAGGAAAAACCUGUGUCUUUAUCUUUCUUUUCCUGUCCAAAAUAACCCCUUCCACAUAUACUUCAGGCUUCUCUGGACCUUGUCUGGGUUUAAUCACAGGCUUUGGGACAAAAUGUGCAUUAUUAAGAAGUAUAAAUAUUUUCAGAAGCAAUCAAAGGGUUGAAAGAUUGAUUCGGCAUGUAGAUUGGAUUUAAUUCGAAGCAGCUUUGUUCUAAUGAGGACUACUGGGAUACAAAGACGGCAGCCGCUCAUGGCCACCAGUUGGGAACUUCCACUCGCUGCAGCAACCUGUCAAGAAUUCCAAGAAACUGCCAGGGUAAAGUUGCCUGCAGGGUCGACUUGCUGAAGCCUGUUAAUUUCUCCUGAGGUCAGUGGGCACGGGGUGCUGGGCAGUGCAGCCUCUCCUGGCCGGGCACGGUGGUCGUGUGUGCUCCAGCUGCUUCCCAAGAGACAGGGACAGGAAUGAAGAACCUGGGGUUUCCCACAGGAAUUUGGAAGAUGCCCAUGUCUAAGACAAUGGUGAGGAUUGGGCCAAAAUCCAGAUCCAGCCUUGAUUCCCUCAUCCAAGUAAGCCUGUGUUGAGCCACGACUGCUGAUGGAGCGCAGCGUCCUCUCUCCUCCCUGCCCUGCAUCACUCACCAGGAGCACCUGACAGUACUGGAUGAGCCAUCACAAGACUGUGAUUGGAAAAUGUGGGGACCAAGCACUCAGGGAGAUGCUGUUGCAGCAUCCCUGGCCCUGGGCUGUGGGUCAGCUUUUGCUCAUGGCAGAAGCCACCAGAGGCCAGAGAAACAUCAUGGGGACUGUUUCUGUCUUGGCUACUCCUCACCAGUGCUGCACAAAGCCCUGAGACCCAAGGCAACAUCACCAGGGAUUUGCUCCUCUCAUGGUCUACACAAAGUUCCACCCUUUGCUUCUGCAGCAAGUUCUUGUUACCCAGUUCCCACUGACAACAGGGAAAGAGGCACAAGCAAGCUCAGAAAAUGAACCACUAGAAGGUAAGUGAAAAGAAUAGUAAAUGCAGGCCAUUCAUGUAACAGGAUCCAAUUCAUUUUUAUGCCAGGGAGAUGUUUUAAAUGGGACUUCUCCCAGUGGAGAGCUCACAAUGCUCAAGGCCUGUUCACUAUAAAGACAAUACAUAAUUAUUCUGGGCUUAUUAUUAUUUUUUAUCACUCCUUUUCCAGUUGCAGGGAGUGAGGGCAGAGAUGAGAUCAGGACCCAGUUUAUUUCUGUGCAGACUGUGCAGCACACAGGGCUGCAGGACCCUGUGGAGGCAGGGGAAUGCACCCAGGAUGGAGGUUCAGGUCUGAGAUGGGAGAAUCCAUCAACAGCAAAAAUGGGGACUCAGCCUCCUGAGGCACUCAGUCCUGCUGCUUGUUGCUUUCAGCAUCUUUUCUUUUCACACUUAUUUUGAAUCAUCUAAAUGAUGAAUUGAAAAAAUGCCAUGUCAUUUGAAGCACUCUUUCUUGUAUUUACAGGAAACAGAUUAUUUGUUCUCUCAGGAUAGUGGAAACUGAGUAUGAUGAACUCAUCUGGAGAAAAUGUAGGUUGGGUGUGACAGAGAAACUUGUGUUUUAUACCACAGUGACAUCUUAAUUUCUGGUUUUGGUAUGACAGACUCAGUGAUACUGAACCAUCCCAGUUCCUGCUUUCAGGCUGGAGUCACAAGCUGGAUUUGGAAGAAGAAACUUCCAUGCAGAUAUGUGACUGCAGUGUGAAUACUGUGCCAGGGUAAGAGCAAUUUUGUUUAAUUUGGUAUUUAUACAAUAUGUAAAGUCCAUACAAAGUCUGUUGUUCAUCCCUGCCUAGUUAAACUGCAUUUGACCACUACUUGUUCAACCCAGUAAAGUGUAUCUGGGUACCACAACAACACCUGAUCUAUUUAUAUAUUAAGAUUAUUUUGCCAAGUCAGGCCUUUAGGAUUUAGCAUUUCAUUCAUAAAGGAUUCUAUAACACAUGCCCAGUUGUGCUCUCUUUCUACUUCCUGAUGAUUUGGGUGAUUUUCUCUAACCAAUUUAUAUUUUAAUUAGCUGUAACACUUCUUUACUUUCUAAUUUGAACAACUAAGACUUUAAAAAAAAAAAUAAAAGCUAAAAAAUAACUCUCAAAGUGUGAAUGGCUACUCACUAUAAUUUUCUCUUCAGUACUUGCAGGUCCUGGGUUAUCUUAGGUGACAUUUUCAUGUUGACUGCUCUGUGUUAGUUCUGCUCAGACAGAAGGUAGUGACAGUGGGCAAUGUGUUAUAGGUUUCUUUACAGAUGAAACCUACAGAGUGUCCUAAAGUUCAGUACUCAAUACCAGCCACUUCCACAUCCCUCUGUGCUCCUACCAUUGCUUUGAACCAAUUUAUUUAUUCAUUUGGGCUUUAAGUACUCAGAUGUAUUCCUUCUUGCUGCAGCAGCAGGGGUACAGGAAGGGGUGUUUGAAACCACACAGUCAUUUCCACCCUGGAUUUCAUGAGGAGUUAUUCUUGUCUCACAGAUGACGCAUUCAAAUAUCCCUCUAUGGAUUCCAGGUGAGUUAGUCACAUUUAGAUGCUUCCAAGUAAUACACAGAAAGGUGCUGAGAAAAUGAUGAGUUUCUGCCUAGUCACACACACCACAAAAAAAAAAAAAAAAAAAAA